rnacentral:rRNA from 1 species
GACGAACGCUGGCGGCGUGCUUAACACAUGCAAGUCGAGCGGUAAGGCCUCUUCGGGGGUACACGAGCGGGGGACGGGUGGGUAACAAGUGGGUGACCUGCCCUCAGCUCUGGGAUAAGCAUGGGCAACUGGGUCUAAUACCGGCUAUGACCUUUCCUCGCCUGGGGUUUGGUGGUAGGUUUUUUCGGCUGGGGAUGGGCCGGCGGCCUGUCAGCUUGUUGGUGGGGUGAUGGCCUACCAAGGAGAGGAUGGGUGGCCGGCCUGGGAGGGCGGCCGGCCACGCUCUGACUUAGACACCGGCCUGACUCGUGCGGCAGGCAGCAGGGAGGUAGAUUGCGCGAUGGGCGCAAGCCGGACGCAGCCCCGCCGCGUGGGGGAGGACGGCCGUCGGGUUGUAACCUUCGUUCGUCCCCGACGGAGUGUGACGGUAGUGGGAGAAGAAGCACCGGCUAACUACGUG